GAGGGGCGAAGAACCCUGGGUCACCCAACCGGCUGGGCCCUGGUCAGUGUCACACUUUUGGUCCUGAAGGGAGCCUGCUGUUCGCACAUUAGUCACCUGGACACACGGACUUGAUGGGCAGGUGGGCUCUCCCCCCACGGCUCCUGGCCGCCUCCUGGCGGUGGGGAGGUCGGAGGUGGGAGGGAGAGCUGACACGCUGGUGUCCCUCCUGACUUGGACUCGGGGUCAGGGAAUUGAAUCUGUCACUGCCCCGGAGCCCACAGGGAGUGGCAGUAUUUGUUAGGAGCAGGGGGAAGUAUGUAGCGAGCCUGUGUCCCCUGGGCCAGCCGGGUGUGGGUUCACGGCUGUCUGCCCCAACCAGCCGCCCUCAUGGACCCCAGGGGUCUCGCAACCAAGUUCAGGUGCUGGUGAUUCUAGGAGAAAUCUGCCUGCAGUAAUAUAAAUGUUCAACCUGAUCCUCUCUUCGGGAAAGACAGAUUCCCGAGUGUGAGGUGCGGGGUCAGGAGGAGGAGUGGAAACCGCACGCCCCUGUGCCACACUUAAAAUCUUCGUGCCUCAUGCCCUCGGGCUCCGGGUCAGAAACGGGGAAACAGGGCAAGAGUGAGGGAGCCCGGCUAAUACUGAGGGCACACAGGGCCCUGAGUCAGACCCAGGCAGCUCCCAGGUCCCUGACUCACCCACUCCCAGCCCCCCACCCCCACCCCCACCCCAAGCUUCUUAAAGGUCAGACCAGAAGAGCCCAGAACCUGGCUUCCAUUUGGAUGUCUGUUUCCGCAUCAGAAACAGCUCCUCCUCCCCCUCCUCCCUGGGGUUGUGCCCUGCAGACUUUCCUGAAGGCUGGGUGGGUGGGGGGAGUCCCUUAGGCCACACUGAAACGGCAUCCUUCUUCCAUUUCCAGCUGCUUCUGCUGGUUUUCAGGGAUUUAUAGAAACUUUACAAAUGCCAACGGGGGUUCUUUGCAAAUGUCCGGCUUGGCGGUUAAAAUGCUUUUUAAAGUAUUUAUAAAAUUCCGCCGUGCAUAUUUUUGGGAGAUAUAGUGUCCCCAAAUUCAUAUCCAUGGGUACUUGAAAGAAGGUGUGUGUGAGGGAGUAACGAACCCUAUUCGGUAAAGCGACAGGUGGCAUUUGGAAGGUCCAAUCAUAGGGCUUUCCUCUGUCUGGAAAAUCGGGAGACUUCGGGAGAGUCACGCUUUGUGUAAGGGUGGCCACGCACCCUUAACAAAACACGGACAUCCAUUUUGCUGAAUAAAACUGAAAGACGUCUUUCGACAAGUAAGGGAAAGAUGACCCAAGCCUCGCCCUCUCUUUGGUAUUUCUGAAAAGAUCCUAUUACAAUUCCCGCCGACCCGUGUACACGUCGGGCAAGGAGGGCAGGGACCCCCAGGACUCCAUCCUGCUGCAGACACACACUCCGUAAUUUGCGUUGAGUGGAACUGAACUUCAGAUGACCCCAGCCAGAGAAGUAAGCAAAUCAACCUAAAUAAUUUCCAGUGGCCAAGACGGCGUGCAUUUUGAGUUUUCUUUCUCUUCCGCACCAGCAAACUGCACCUUGGUGAUUGUAUCUUUGCUUGGACGAGGCCAGAACCUCACGUUCACCCCGGUUCGUCAGUAACAGUCUGCCGGUGACCUUCGCAAAGCAGAAAAGGUACCUGCAAAGGCUGGAGGGGUGGACUGCUUCCUCACACGUCCCGGUUAGGAGGGCGUCCUGGAGGUCGCAGGACGUGUAGCAGUGCCCCUGGCCUCCACCCACGAGAUGUCAGAACACACGCACAGUGGGGACAACCACAAACGUCUCCAGCCGUCGCGCAAUGUCCCUUGGUGGCGAAGCUGCCCCCGGAGCCCUGCUCUCGGUCUGGUGGCUCAGCAAAAAGGGUUUUCUAGACUGACAACGAGGUGACCUCGUCCUGCACCCGGCAGAAUUUUCCUGAUCGUGGGCAAAUGAGACGGCUUCUCCGGGACUCGGUUUUGUCAUCUGAGAGAGGAGGACGUCCAUCCGGGUGCUCAGUUAGACGCCCCGCGGAUCUAACACUGUGAUUCUACCACGUUCCGUGGUCCAUCCUGUGCAGCGGCCCCUGACACCCGCAUCCAGAACGCCUCACCCUCCUCAGAGGAAGCUUACACGGCUAGCGCUUCAUCUCAACUAAGUCUGGAAGGGAGGAUUUCUCAGUGUUUGCCUCUUAAUGUUACUAAUUCUUGUAAAUUUACUGCUUAGGGGAUGUGAAUUUGCAGCUGUCAGUGUCUUUCACUGACAUCACUCGAAAGUCCUCAUAAUGAUCAGCGGUUGGUCCGCAAUUAAGUUUGAGGGGAAAAAAAAAAACCUCUGGAAAUAAUCACUUUCUGCUGAAU